CCUACCUAGCACAGGCCUUCACAGUUCAACAAGAAAAUCCUACUGUUGACUGGAUUUUUAAAAAUCAGUGGAGGAGAUCACACUAGAAAUGAUAGAUACUGCAAGAAACAAAGCUUGAGUGAAAGCUUGUUACCGUAAUGAAUGGACUCACACAUAUCACUGCUUUGCAGUGAUAGCAUCAGCCAAAAGGGCUGCAGAACAUGAAUCGUUAACAAGUUGAAAUAUGUCAAAGAUGGCUGUGUGGUGUGAAGAAGCUGCAUUAGCUGCACAGGCUAAGCCUAAAUGA
rnacentral:lncRNA from 1 species